CGACCCGAUGUUCUAAUAUUGUGCCGUCAAUUCCUGAUAGAAGCUCUUCUAUCUAUUUUACUAGACAGUGAUGGCCAGCACAGGCCCAAUAAUAUAAACUCUGAAACUUUUAUUUUUGAUUAAAUCUCUUUUAACAUAAAAUUGCAUAUAAUAAGAAUUGAUGCAAGUAAAUAACUAUCAAAUUGGAUAAAGAGGACAUUGCAUAUUAACUAUUGGACGUUAUUUAUUUACAUACAUAGAGGAACAAAUAUAUAUCCCUCCUUGAAUGUUGCCUUGCAAGGUGACAUAUUCUUUAAAUCCAUGGAUAAUAUUUACAUAUUGACUAAAAGUGAUACAUUUACAAUGUUGUAAUUAGUCUUCUUCGCAGUCCUUAAUAUAUAUAAUGGCACCUAUAGAAGCAGAAAGCGAUGAUCAAAUGUCAAUAUUCAAUAUAAGGGGACUAACUUAUUUCCCAGGUAAAUGAAAAAGGAAAGCAGAAGAAAAGGAAAAAAGGGACUAUCAUUGAUUUAGAAAAUCAUUCAAAAGAGUUUGAGGUAUGUGCAACGUAACCCACUACCUCAAGGGGAAGAAUGAACGAACAUAUAAAUAGAACAAAGGGUGCAAGGAUACAUAAGUGCCCUCUAACAUUUUAUUUUUUUCUUGAGAAGAGAAGUGCCCUCUAACAUUAACAAAAGAAAAAUAAACAUGAUGGAUCUUGAAGGAGGACGGUACACUCUUCAAUUUUUUCUUACUUGUAAUUCGUGAUAAAAAUCAUAAAGUGGUUCAUUUAUAAACACGUGUUUAUUUAAAAAGUCUCAUAUAUGAAUAAAAGUUAGUCUUGAAUUAUAAUAAUAAUAUAAAAGAAUAAUGAAACAGAAAAUUAUUUUCGCGUGAAUUUAGAAGGUAUUUUGGCUCAGAUGGAGUCAGCAAAUGGAUAGUUUUUUAAAUUUGGAAUGGACAGUUUUUUUUAAUUUUAAAAUUGAAGAACCUAUAGCAACUAAGGGCAAAUAUACCAAAAAGUACCUAAACCAAGAAGAUUAAUUUUAACCAUAGCAUGCUAGUACAGUGGGACGAGUCACACCAUAAGUACUAUCAAAUAUGAAAGCUGCUAUUUUAAAGUGCAGCAUUUUUCAUGAAAAGUUCAGAAAAAAAAAACAGAGGAUUAAAAAGCUACAGUUCAGCAAAUUACUUUUGCUCAAGGCAACAAUAACAUUGGCAGUUGCUUAAAGUGUGAUUGGAACCUUUAAAAAUACUGAACAUUGUACUUACAAGUUCCUGCUAACUAUCCAUACACUUAUUUGCUUAGGUUCUUCAUUAAAAAGGUCAACAAAAUAUCGUGCCCAGAAAUAUUAUAAUCACUAAAAGAUGGAGCAUUUUAUAAUACAUAGUAGAAGGUUGUGUUAGAAAAUAAAAUCAAGUGAAGCAUUAUAACUUUAUCAAUACAAAAUGUCCGUGUAGCUCAAUUUCUAACAUGUGGAAGGUCCCUAUCUGCCGUAUAAUAUAUGCACAUUCUACUACAACAUCAAAGCAAUUUAGCCCAACUUUGAAGUUGAAAUUUCUAAACUAACGUGCUACCACUGUACUCACUUUGAGCUUAUAAAACUCUUAACAAGUUAAGGAAAUAAUAGAGGAGAAAGUUUGUUCAUGCUUUGCUUAAACUAAAAUAUAGGAAGGAAAAAAAUCAUAAUAGAAGUAAUAACUAUUAAUCUUAAGAAGUUCUAUCAUGCUUUUUUAAACCACAACAUGAGAAAAAGAAAAUCACAAGUUCGAAAUCAGAACUCUUAUUAUAUCAACUCAAAUAAUUCUAUAUACAGUCAUAAUUAGCUUAAAUGACCACAACCUUUCAUGGCUUAAAGGCAAAAGAGAGUGAACAAAAAGAUUAAAGUUUGAGGAAUCAUCUUUUUAUUUUUUCCUUCUUAGUUUUGUUCUCUCAAUCACUAAAUAAAUCACUAAUUCUCAAAAGAACUAAAGUUUUCUUUAUUAUUCAGAUUCAGAAUUCCAAAAUAUAGAAAGUUAGCUUUUAUAAUCUUCCUUCUAAUAUUUUUUCUUUCCUCUUUGACUUCAAAAAUGGUAGUAAGCAUUAGUAAGUACUGAGACAGAAAAGAUAACUUUGGCUAACUCAGUACACUAAUCCAGCCUUACCUAUUUAUCAAAAUCACAAUUUUAAGUCGUCCCCUGAUUUAAAAAACUCGGUAAAUUGAAAUUUAGCAUGGUAGAAAAAUCUCCAGUAUUUAUAAGUAAAUUUUGACUGCUAUAGAAUGACACAUUUGAAGUCCAAAAGGCAAGCAUUCUUUAAACAUCAAUGGGUUUUAAACAUUUUACUUUUAUUUAACACUACUCUCAGCGCACAUUACUUUUAUAACUCGGUAUUUUGCAAAAACUAAUUGCAUUGCAAAUAAUUCACAGUAAAUUACUUAUGGUGUCGAUAUCUUGCUACUAACUCUUUAUGGCUAAUGCUAUAUGAAGUUAGCCAAUUGUGACCCAUAAAAUCUCUUAGAGAACAUGCUAUGACUCAUAAACUUGCUUUACUUAACGAGCUUCUCAUUGCUUUGGUUACAAAAUUUUCUUGGUGCAUGACUUCGUACUUUCUCUUUUUUUUUUUCUCUUAGCAAGUACAUCUCAAGGUACUUCUUUAUUGAUUUUCCCAUUGGUAGCUUAUCAUCUUUGUCAUGUAUAUCCAUGAAAAAUUCGACCUAGAUAGUAAGCUGAAGUAGUUCAGAGCUGCAGGAGUUUGUUAACAUUCCCAAAGAGUAAUUUUUCUAGCAUUGUUAUACGCUAUACAAGAUAAAAGAGUUUUAGGGAUGGAUUUACAAAAAAAUAAUAAUUUAAGUACCGGUUGAAUGACUUGAUGCGAGAGCAGCAUGAGGAGAUGUCACUUUCAGGAGGCCCCAUUGGGAUUCUUACCUGUUUGAUGAAAGUCUUGCUUUCAAACAAAGACAUUAGAUGAUAUCUAACAAACAAUAAAGUAUUGAUUCCUCUAAAGAUUGUAAAAGAAAGUCAUAAAAAUUUAGCAAAUCAGACACGAUUGUAUACAGUUAACUCAAGGAGCUUCUUCGAGAACAAAGAGGACCAAGAAUAUCUUUGAAGUAUCUGAAAGUCUUUAUACUGGAUUCAAAUUUUCAGUUUCCACUUUAAAUUGAUUCGUGAAGAUCAGUUUCUUUCAUUCGUGAAUAAGAAAUGAAAGGCUAAAAGCCAAAUAAUUACCACGAAAAUUCCUCAAGUUUCUCUCUAUAAUUAUAUCUCUCAUCCUCUGGCUGAUAAAAUUACACGCGCUAAAAGUGUCAGACAUUCGUUGAUAAUUCCCUAUUUUCUCUCUUACCUUCGGAGGAUGGAAAAGACCAGGGAUGCAUAAAAAAUUAAAUGUGGUCGUUGGCCGAACCAGUAUUAUACCAACAUAUAGAAAUAAUAGUAAAAAGCAAUUAGCAGCACAUAGCUUUACUGCACACCAAAUGACUCGAACAGCAAAGCAAAGAGGCUAAAGCUUUCUUCCCGAUUAUCUAGAGAGACAUGUCCAUUGAGCAAUCAAUCUUGGUCCUUUCUGACUUUUUCCGCUGCAUAAUGUUUCUCACAAAUUGAACAACACUCCAACUUACUCUAUAGCAGCAAAAACAAACCUACAAAAUCAACUAAGCUAAAAUCAAAGUAAGUAGAACUUGGAUUGAGCACAAAGAGAAGAAAUCUCAUAUCUACGAUGAAAGAGAGAGGAGCAAACUUAGGAAGGCGAUAAGAAUGAGGAGACUGUGAGGUGGGUGCAGGAGUAGAAGCCACGUAGGUAUUCUUUAUAAGCGAACUAAAAAUCAGCUUCUUUAUAAUAAAAAAUUUCAAAUUAAAAACGACAGAGCUUCUGAAGAUGAAAAGCUUUGAUCAACCACCUACUUCAAAUCAAUGCUAACAUGUGUCUAAAUGCGAUAUAGGAUCAGUAAAUUACUAAAGAUCCAUUAAAACAUUGAAAUAAAUUAUCAACUUUCUCAUACUAUCAGUAGAUACAACCAUUGAUGGCAACGCCAUAAUAUUGUCGUCCUACACCCCCUCCCACAAUAAUGAAAAUGCGAAUUUAUGUUGUCAAAUCUUCAGCUAUAACCUACAGUAGUACAUAAAUCAAAUAAAUAACUUUGUGUGUUGCUAGUCAGAUCCGAUAAAUGAUUUUAAAAGAUUGACUCGUCAAGAAGUUGGGACUCUAUAGAAUACUUAGAGCCCAAUUGACUAUACUAUCCACUUAAUGAUUUCUGACAUGAAUUUGAACUACUUCAGGGGUAGAACUUGAAUUAAUGAUAGCCUUUGAAUUUAGCAGUCCUUAUAUAUCGUAUUAACAAUUAAAAUAUGGUCGAAGAAAAAAUCUCUAUUUGAUAAGCUUUCUUCCUAAACUUAUGAAUUUAAUAGGACCACCCCCAAGAACAAAAGACGCGGAGACAGAGUUAAAACUUAUAGCAGCAAUGAGCGGGAGAAAAAUCUAAGUACAAAAGAGAAAAAAUUUAUCACAUCGUUGAAGUUUUAUAUCUGUUGAAAUAAAGGCAGCAAAUGCUUACAGGCUACAGCAAACAAUAAUCCUUCUUUCAAAAUCCUAUGCAGAACGAAGACCAAGAAUGAGAAAUUGAUGAUAGGGGUAGGGUUACAGCAUAAAAAGAAAAAUAAACAGGAAUCAAACUGAAGAAGACUACCUGAGUUAAAACCUAAUAAUUGAAGCCUUUCUGCAGAUGGUGCAAAAACUUGAAUCUCGUUCCUGUUAUUCAGACACAGAUAAACAAAAUCAGUAAUAGUUUACCGUGAGAGAGCAAUGAAAGAGCAGAAGAGGGGAGAUGAAAUUGAAGAAAGGAACAUUGGAAGAGAACUAAAGAAGAUAAAGAACUCCAGACUAAGCAAUGUGAGGUUUUACCCAAAAAAAAUUUCUUCUUAAUUAGGCUUAUCAACCAGAUCAGUGUCAGUAUCGGACUGAGAUAGAGAAGCAUUUAGGCUUUACAAAAGAGAAGAUCAACAAUGGGAAAUUGUUGCAAGUGGAUGAAGCUUCUAAUGGGUGGAAAGAGAGAUAAAGCGAGAUACAAUGAAGUUUGAGGUUGAAGAUGAAUGGAUUCUACAGCCAUUGGAUAGCAAAACUAAAAAGGGCGGGGAAAACCCAAAAAGAAAAGAAUUAAGGAAAAAGAAGAAGAUAUGUGCAGAAUUAGUUGAAGAAGAAACAUACUUGCAGCAAGAACACAAACAGAUCUGGAGAGCAAGAACACAAAUAGGAAGAAGACGGUGGAAACAAAAGGUGUACUCUCUGAAUUGUAAAUACCAAAAAAAAUAUAGGAAAAAGUUAAGUUGUCAAACAGCUGUAAUGAUAUCAAAUACACGUAAAGGUAUUGGAAAAAGUGAAGUUGUCAGACAGCUAUAAUGAAAUCAAAUACACUUAGGGUUU
rnacentral:lncRNA from 1 species